rnacentral:rRNA from 1 species
UACGUAGGUGGCAAGCGUUGUCCGGAUUUACUGGGCGUAAAGAGCGCGCAGGCGGUCGUUCAAGUCGCGUGUGAAAGCCCCCGGCUCAACUGGGGAGGGUCACGCGAUACUGAUCGACUCGAAGGCAGGAGAGGGUAGUGGAAUUCCCGGUGUAGUGGUGAAAUGCGUAGAUAUCGGGAGGAACACCAGUGGCGAAGGCGGUUCUCUGGGACGGUACUGACGCUGAGACGCGAAAGCGUGGGGAGCGAACAGG